GACGAACGCUGGCGGCGUGCUUAACACAUGCAAGUCGAACGGAAAGGCCCUGCUUGCAGGGUACUCGAGUGGCGAACGGGUGAGUAACACGUGGGUGAUCUGCCCUGCACUUCGGGAUAAGCCUGGGAAACUGGGUCUAAUACCGGAUAGGAGCCAUUUUUAGUGUGAUGGUUGGAAAGUUUUUUCGGUGUAGGAUGAGCUCGCGGCCUAUCAGCUUGUUGGUGGGGUAAUGGCCUACCAAGGCGGCGACGGGUAGCCGGCCUGGGAGGGUGGACGGCCACAGUGGGACUGAGACACGGCCCAGACUCCUACUGGAGGCAGCAGUGGCGAAUAUUGCACAAUGGGCGCAAGCCUGAUGCAGCGACGCCGCGUGGGGGAUGACGGCCUUCGGGUUGUAAACGCCUUUCGCUAGGGACGAAGCUUUUUGUGACGGUACCUAGAGAAGAAGCACCGGCUAACUACGUG
rnacentral:rRNA from 1 species